AAAACACAAGGGGGCGACCAAAGCUUCUUCAUGAACCCUAACUCUCACAAAUUCAUCAAAUUGAUAAGGCAAAUCAGUUCCAAAUCGAAAUCCAAACUCAGAAUAGUAAUCACCUUCGUUAAAGGAUCAUAAGACAAGGAAACCAAGACGUCAAGUGGACAAGCUGGUACGCGUUUGAAAGGAAAACUUUGAAAAUACGUAACCUUGAUUUCGUUACGUUAUGCUUGAUUUUGAAUGUAGUUACUUGAAUUAGUGUUGUGAGAAAAUGUAAUAUUUUGUAGAAGUGACGAAGUUCACUAAAUAGUUAAAACGGGUCAAAAGAUUGGUUAAGGCAUGUUUGGUUGUCAUUGAAAUGGUGGAUACCAUUUGACAACCAAACGGGUCAAACAAAGGUUGAUUUGGUAGUAUAGAAGUGACUUGAACGUCACUCGAUGAUUGUGGAUCA